GGAGAGCUGCUUGGUGCGAUCCGGUCGUGAAAUCCCUGGGGCCAAUACUUAAACCUCUAGGGAGCUGUCCCUGCCUGGAUCGUGGUCCCGGUACACGGCGCCCACCUGCUUAAGCAGGCCACAGAGGAUUCAGACGUGCCGCCGGCCUAUGUGGCGCCGCC
rnacentral:other from 1 species